UACUUGAAAUAUGACUUCUAUUGUGGUUGAUGAUCUAACUUAUUUGUUAACAAUCACGUUGAGUGAUAUUAGGAUUUCACCUUUGCUGCCUGUUUAAUUGGGGCGAUUACCUUCAUAUGAAUGUUGGUGUACAAAGCUAUUACACUGCUUUGUGGUAAGGCAACUUAAGAGUAAUAUUCCAUUAAUUUCACCUGAAUUAAGAGUUAAAUAUUGUUAGAUGAUCUUCAAAUUAACUCAACUUAUAAAAGCUACUCAAGGGAUAACAGGCUUAAUAUGCAUACGAGCUCUCAUUUAAUGAAUGUCUUGGCACCUCGAUGUCGGCUUAUAUUUUCCACGCUUUGCAGUUGAAGUGAUGGUAGGAGUGCUCAUCCUUUGUUAAUAUACGUGAGCUGGGUUCAGAACGAUGUAAAUCAGUUUGGUCUAUAUCUUUGACUAAUUUUAACCUUUAACCUGCAAUUGAUUUAGUACGCAAGGACCAUG
rnacentral:rRNA from 8 species